rnacentral:lncRNA from 1 species
AUGGAGGAGGAUGAUGAAGAUGGAGGACAGGAGCACCAGCAUCCACAGCAUCCUGAGGAAACAUCAACAGAGGACAGAGACUUCUAUUCACCAAAACAAUACAGGAGCACCAGCAUCCACAGCAUCCUGAGGAUGAAACAUCACCAGAGGACAGAAAGACUUCUAUUCACCAAAACAAUCAAUAGUUUUGCUUCAGAGGAGAAUCAGACAGUUCCAGAUGUUCGUCACCAGCACUGCAGUGUUUACACAGACUGCUUUGGUUUCAACUUUCUACAAAAAACUUUUGAAUUUUCAACUCACUUUCCAUCAGAAUCCAAGCUCAUCUUCAUCACUGGGAUGUUUCUUCAUCAGUUCUUCAUACAGACUGACACAGUUCACACAUGGAGAAGAUGAUUUAUGGAAUAUGACAUUUAGACUUUUCCUUUUCUCAACAGUAUGAUGCAUACAUCCCAACCCAAAUUUAAUGCAUUUUUUUGGCUUAACUUGAGACAAUUUCUAUCAAUAAAUUGCUAAUGUAUUAUUAUUGACUAUUAAUA